GUGUCAGCCGCCGCGGUAAAACGUAGGAGCCAAGCGUUAUCCGAAUUCACUGGGCGUAAAGCGCGUGCAGGCGGACCGGUAAGUUGGAUGUAAAAUCUCCUGGCUCAACUGGGAGAGGCCGUUCAAUACUACCGGACUAGAGGGCGACAGAGGGAGGUGGAAUUCCGGGUGUAGUGGUGAAAUGCGUAGAUAUCCGGAGGAACACCAGAGGCGAAGGCGACCUCCUGGGUCGAACCUGACGCUCAGACGCGAAAGCUAGGGGAGCGAACGGGAUUAGAAACCCUCGUAGUCC
rnacentral:rRNA from 1 species